CCUACGGGAGGCAGCAGUAGGGAAUCUUCCACAAUGGACGAAAGUCUGAUGGAGCAACGCCGCGUGAGUGAAGAAGGGUUUCGGCUCGUAAAGCUCUGUUGGUAAUGAAGAAAGAUAGAGGUAGUAACUGGCCUUUAUUUGACGGUAAUUACUUAGAAAGUCACGGCUAACUACGUGCCAGCAGCCGCGGUAAUACGUAGGUGGCAAGCGUUGUCCGGAUUUAUUGGGCGUAAAGCGAGUGCAGGCGGUUCAAUAAGUCUGAUGUGAAAGGCUUCGGCUCAACCGGAAAAUUGCAACUGAAACUGGUGGACUUGAGUGCAGAAGAGGAGAGUGGAACUCGUUGUGUAGCGGUGGAAUGCGUAGAUAUAUGGAAGAACCCCAGUGGCGAAGGCGGCUCUCUGGUCUGCGACUGACGCUGAGGCUCGAAAGCAUGGGUAGCGAACAGGAUUAGAUACCCCUGUAGUC
rnacentral:rRNA from 1 species